UACGUAGGGGGCUAGCGUUGUCCGGAAUCAUUGGGCGUAAAGAGCAUGUAGGCGGCCCGGUAAGUCCGCUGUGAAAGUCGGGGGCUCAACCCUCGAAUGCCGGUGGAUACUGUCGGGCUAGAGUGCGGAAGAGGCGAGUGGAAUUCCUGGUGUAGCGGUGAAAUGCGCAGAUAUCAGGAGGAACACCAAUUGCGAAGGCAGCUCGCUGGGACGUAACUGACGCUGAGACGCGAAAGCGUGGGGAGCAAACAGG
rnacentral:rRNA from 1 species